rnacentral:rRNA from 1 species
CGAAGGGGGCUAGCGUUGCUCGGAAUUACUGGGCGUAAAGGGAGCGUAGGCGGGUUAUCAAGUUGGAGGUGAAAGCCCAGGGCUCAACCUUGGAAUUGCCUUCAAAAACUGAUAACCUAGAGGAUGAUAGAGGUAAGUGGAACUCCGAGUGUAGAGGUGAAAUUCGUAGAUAUUCGGAAGAACACCAGUGGCGAAGGCGACUUACUGAUCAUUACUGACGCUGAGGCUCGAAAGCGUGGGGAGCAAACAGGAUUAGAUACCCUGGUAGUCCACGCCGUAAACGAUGAUUACUAGUUGUCAGCCGGCAUGCCGGUUGGUGACGCAGCUAACGCAUUAAGCAAUCCGCCUGGGGAGUACGGUCGCAAGAUUA